rnacentral:sRNA from 1 species
GCCGGGCCUGGUGGCACAUGUCUGUAAUCCCAACAACUUGGGAGGCUGAGGCAGGAGGAUUGCAAGUUUGAAGGCAGCCUCAACAAACUAGCAAGACCCUGUCUCGA